rnacentral:rRNA from 1 species
GGUCAAGUGAAGAAGCGCAUACGGUGGAUGCCUUGGCAGUCAGAGGCGAUGAAAGACGUGGUAGCCUGCGAUAAGCUUCGGGGAGUCGGCAAACAGACUUUGAUCCGGAGAUCUCUGAAUGGGGGAACCCAGCCAUCAUAAGAUGGUUAUCUUGUACUGAAUACAUAGGUGCAAGAGGCGAACCAGGGGAACUGAAACAUCUAAGUACCCUGAGGAAAAGAAAUCAACCGAGAUUCCCUUAGUAGUGGCGAGCGAACGGGGACUAGCCCUUAAGUGGCUUUGAGAUUAGCGGAACGCUCUGGAAAGUGCGGCCAUAGUGGGUGAUAGCCCUGUACGCGAAAAUCUCUUAGUCAUGAAAUCGAGUAGGACGGGGCACGAGAAACCUUGUCUGAAUAUGGGGGGACCAUCCUCCAAGGCUAAAUACUACUGACUGACCGAUAGUGAACCAGUACCGUGAGGGAAAGGCGAAAAGAACCCCGGAGAGGGGAGUGAAAUAGAACCUGAAACCGUAUGCGUACAAGCAGUGGGAGCCCACUUUGUUGGGUGACUGCGUACCUUUUGUAUAAUGGGUCAGCGACUUAUUUUCAGUGGCGAGCUUAACCGAAUAGGGGAGGCGUAGCGAAAGCGAGUCUUAAUAGGGCGUCUAGUCGCUGGGAAUAGACCCGAAACCGGGCGAUCUAUCCAUGGGCAGGUUGAAGGUUAGGUAACACUGACUGGAGGACCGAACCGACUACCGUUGAAAAGUUAGCGGAUGACCUGUGGAUCGGAGUGAAAGGCUAAUCAAGCUCGGAGAUAGCUGGUUCUCCUCGAAAGCUAUUUAGGUAGCGCCUCAUGUAUCACUGUAGGGGGUAGAGCACUGUUUCGGCUAGGGGGUCAUCCCGACUUACCAAACCGAUGCAAACUCCGAAUACCUACAAGUGCCGAGCAUGGGAGACACACGGCGGGUGCUAACGUCCGUCGUGAAAAGGGAAACAACCCAGACCGUCAGCUAAGGUCCCAAAGUUAUGGUUAAGUGGGAAACGAUGUGGGAAGGCUUAGACAGCUAGGAGGUUGGCUUAGAAGCAGCCACCCUUUAAAGAAAGCGUAAUAGCUCACUAGUCGAGUCGGCCUGCGCGGAAGAUGUAACGGGGCUCAAACCAUACACCGAAGCUACGGGUAUCACGUAAGUGAUGCGGUAGAGGAGCGUUCUGUAAGCCUGUGAAGGUGAGUUGAGAAGCUUGCUGGAGGUAUCAGAAGUGCGAAUGCUGACAUGAGUAACGACAAUGCGAGUGAAAAACUCGCACGCCGAAAGACCAAGGGUUCCUGCGCAACGUUAAUCGACGCAGGGUUAGUCGGUCCCUAAGGCGAGGCUGAAGAGCGUAGUCGAUGGGAAACAGGUUAAUAUUCCUGUACUUCUAGUUACUGCGAUGGAGGGACGGAGAAGGCUAGGCCAGCUUGGCGUUGGUUGUCCAAGUUUAAGGUGGUAGGCAGAGUGCUUAGGUAAAUCCGGGCGCUUAAUGCCGAGAACUGAUGACGAGUCGUCUUUUAGACGAUGAAGUGGUUGAUGCCAUGCUUCCAGGAAAAGCUUCUAAGCUUCAGGUAACUAGGAACCGUACCCCAAACCGACACAGGUGGUUGGGUAGAGAAUACCAAGGCGCUUGAGAGAACUCGGGUGAAGGAACUAGGCAAAAUGGCACCGUAACUUCGGGAGAAGGUGCGCCGGUGAGGGUGAAGGACUUGCUCCGUAAGCCCAUGCCGGUCGAAGAUACCAGGCCGCUGCGACUGUUUAUUAAAAACACAGCACUCUGCAAACA